rnacentral:misc_RNA from 1 species
GAUGAAGAACUCAGCGAAACGCGAAAGGUAAUGCGAAUUGCAGAAUCAGUGAGUCAUCGAAUCUUUGAACGCACAUUGCGCCCCUUGGUAUUCCGGGGGGCACGCCUGUUCGAGCGCCAUUACACACCCCAAGCUAAGCUUGAUGUUGGGCGAUGUCUGUCACAGGACACGCCUGGAACGUAUGGGCGCCGCCGCCGGAUCACGAGUGUAGCAAGACGCAAGUCAUCGCUCGGUCGGUCCUGGCGGUUGGCCGCCGCGGCUCAUGGUAACACAUGGGCCAGUAACUUUUCACAAGUUUGGCCUCGAAUCAGGCGGGGAUACCCGCUGAACUUAAGCAUAUCAAUAAGCGGAGGA